CGUAUAUUAAAGUUGUUGCGGUUAAAAAGCUCGUAGUUGGAUUUCUGUUGAGAACAGCCGGUCCACCUCUUGGGUGAGUAUCUGGAUUGGUCUCGGCAUCCUCUCGAAACUCGUUGCUGCGCUUGAUUGCGUGGUGCGGUGUUCGGGACUUUUACUUUGAGGAAAUUAGAGUGUUCACGGCAGGCAAUCGCCUUGAAUAUAUUAGCAUGGAAUAAUACUAUAGGAUCUUGGUUCUAUUUUGUUGGUUUCUAGGGCUAAGAUAAUAAUCAAUAGGGACAAUUGGGGGCAUUCGUAUUACGGCGUCAGAGGUGAAAUUCUUGGAUUGCCGUACGACGAACUACUGCGAAAGCAUUUGCCAAGGAUGUUUUCAUUGAUCAAGAACGAAAGUAAGGGGAUCGAAGAUGAUUAGAUACCGUCGUAGUCUUUACCAUAAACUAUGCCAACUAGGGAUGAGGCGUCGUUCUUCUAUGACUCGCUUCGCACCUUAUGAGAAAUCAAAGUUUUUGGGUUCCGGGGGGAGUAUGGUCGCAAGGCUGAAACUUAAAGG
rnacentral:rRNA from 1 species